UGCAGAUGAGAUAACGGAUAGGAGAUGCUGUGCUGAGCAGAGCCUCGCGGUGUAAAGAGCAACUAAAACUUGGCACAGUUUUUACCAAACAAACCAUUUACAAAGAACAAGGUCAGGGAGGAGACAGACCAGAUAGCCUACAGCAGCAGGGAUCAUAAUGCAGACUUUCCUCAGGUAAGGAGAAAUUAUGACUAUUAUUCUUGAAGUGGAACAGUCUUUUAAAACUGGUGUAUAGUUUGAAGUCUCUAUUUUUGACAUAAUUUGUAACAGAGUCU